rnacentral:rRNA from 1 species
CAGUCGCCGCGGGAAUACGUAGGUCCCGAGCGUUGUCCGGAUUUAUUGGGCGUAAAGCGAGCGCAGGCGGUUAGAUAAGUCUGAAGUUAAAGGCUGUGGCUUAACCAUAGUACGCUUUGGAAACUGUUUAACUUGAGUGCAAGAGGGGAGAGUGGAAUUCCAUGUGUAGCGGUGAAACGCGUAGAUAUAUGGAGGAACACCGGUGGCGAAAGCGGCUCUCUGGCUUGUAACUGACGCUGAGGCUCGAAAGCGUGGGGAGCAAACAGGAUUAGAUACCCGCGUAGUCCCUGUCUCUUAUACA